UAAUGGUGAGCCGCGAAUGGCUCAUUACAACAGCCAUAUUUUAUUGGAUCUUGACAGUUACUUGGAUAACUGCGGUAAUUCUGGAGCUAAUACAUGCAUUUAAACCCCGACCUCACGGAAAGGGUGCAUUUAUUAGAACAAAACCAAUCGAGCUUCGGCUCGCUCUUUGGUGACUCUGAAUAACUUUGCUGAUCGCACGGUCUCGAACCGGCGACGUAUCUUUCAAAUGUCUGCCUUAUCAACUGUCGAUGGUAGUUUAUGCGCCUACCAUGGUUGUAACGGGUAACGGAGAAUCAGGGUUUGACUCCGGAGAGGGAGCCUGAGAAACGGCUACCACUUCUAAGGAAGGCAGCAGGCACGCAAAUUACCCACUCCCGGCACGGGGAGGUAGUGACGAAAAAUAACGAGACGUUCUCGACGAGAAUUGUCAUUGGAAUGGGUACAAUUUAAAUCCUUUAACGAGGAUCUAUUGGAGGGCAAGUCUGGUGCCAGCAGCCGCGGUAAUUCCAGCUCCAAUAGCGUAUAUUAAAGUUGUUGCGUUUAAAAAGCUCGUAGUUGGAUCUGAGCUCAUGGGUUGCGGUCCCCUGAUUGGGUGAACUGCAUAUCCUGAGCCAAUUUUCUGGUUUUCUCUUGUUGCUCUUCAUUGAGUGGCUUGAGUGACUGGAGCAUUUACUUUGAAAAAAUUAGAGUGCUUAAAGCAGGCAGUUCGCCUGAAUAAUGGUGCAUGGAAUAAUGGAAUAGGACCUCGGUUCUAUUUUGUUGGUUUUCGGAAACGAGGUAAUGAUUAAGAGGGACAGACGGGGGCAUUCGUAUUGCGACGUUAGAGGUGAAAUUCUUGGAUCGUCGCAAGACGGACUACUGCGAAAGCAUUGCCAAGAAUGUCUGC
rnacentral:rRNA from 1 species